rnacentral:rRNA from 1 species
UGCCUACGGGAGGCAGCAGUGGGGGAUAUUGCGCAAUGGGGGAAACCCUGACGCAGCAACGCCGCGUGAAGGAUGAAGGUUUUCGGAUUGUAAACUUCUUUUAUUAAGGACGAAAAAAUGACGGUACUUAAUGAAUAAGCUCCGGCUAACUACGUGCCAGCAGCCGCGGUAAUACGGAGGAUGCAAGCGUUAUCCGGAUUUAUUGGGUUUAAAGGGUGCGUAGGCGGGACGGUAAGUCAGCGGUAAAAAUGCGGAGCUCAACUCCGUCGAGCCGUUGAAACUGUCGUUCUUGAGUGAGCGAGAAG